GACGAACGCUGGCGGCGUGCUUAACACAUGCAAGUCGAACGGAAAGGCCCUGCGUUUGUGGGGUGCUCGAGUGGCGAACGGGUGAGUAACACGUGAGUAACCUGCCCUUGACUGUGGGAUAAAUUCAGGAAACUGGGGAUAAUAUCGGAUAGGAGCUCCUGCUGCAUGGUGGGGGUUGGAAAGUGUCGGCGGUUGGGGAUGGACUCGCGGCUUACGGGUUUGUUGGUGGGGUAGGGGCUUUACAGGGCUUCGAAGGGUAGCCGGCCUGGGAGGGGUACCGGCCACAUUGGGACUGAGAUACGGCCCAGACGCCUACGGGAGGCAGCAGGGGGGAAUAUUGCACAGUGGGCGGAAGCCUGAUGCAGCAACGCCGGGUGCGGGAUGACGGCCUUCGGGUUGAAAACCGCUUUCGCCUGUAACGAAGCGUGAGUGACGGUAAUGGGUAAAGAAGCACCGGCUAACUACGUG
rnacentral:rRNA from 1 species